UGGGGAAUAUUGGACAAUGGGCGCAAGCCUGAUCCAGCCAUGCCGCGUGAGUGAUGAAGGCCCUAGGGUUGUAAAGCUCUUUCACCGGUGAAGAUAAUGACGGUAACCGGAGAAGAAGCCCCGGCUAACUUCGUGCCAGCAGCCGCGGUAAUACGAAGGGGGCUAGCGUUGUUCGGAUUUACUGGGCGUAAGGCGCACGUAGGCGGACUAUUAAGUCAGGGGUGAAAUCCCGGGGCUCAACCCCGGAACUGCCUUUGAUACUGGUAGUCUUGAGUUCGAGAGAGGUGAGUGGAAUUCCGAGUGUAGAGGUGAAAUUCGUAGAUAUUCGGAGGAACACCAGUGGCGAAGGCGGCUCACUGGCUCGAUACUGACGCUGAGGUGCGAAAGCGUGGGGAGCAAACAGG
rnacentral:rRNA from 1 species